GUGGGGAAUCUUGCGCAAUGGGCGAAAGCCUGACGCAGCCAUGCCGCGUGAAUGAUGAAGGUCUUAGGAUUGUAAAAUUCUUUCACCGGGGACGAUAAUGACGGUACCCGGAGAAGAAGCCCCGGCUAACUUCGUGCCAGCAGCCGCGGUAAUACGAAGGGGGCUAGCGUUGCUCGGAAUUACUGGGCGUAAAGGGAGCGUAGGCGGGCUGUUAAGUUAGAGGUGAAAGCCCAGGGCUCAACCUUGGAAUUGCCUUUGAUACUGGCAGUCUUGAGUACGGAAGAGGUAUGUGGAACUCCGAGUGUAGAGGUGAAAUUCGUAGAUAUUCGGAAGAACACCAGUGGCGAAGGCGACAUACUGGUCCGUUACUGACGCUGAGGCUCGAAAGCGUGGGGAGCAA
rnacentral:rRNA from 1 species